rnacentral:tRNA from 1 species
GCCGGGGUGGCUCAGCCUGGUCAGAGCGCCCGGCUCAUAGAACCGGGAGGUCGCGGGUUCAAAGCCCGCCCCCGGCACCA